UACGGGGGGGGCAAGCGUUGUUCGGAAUUACUGGGCGUAAAGGGCUAGUAGGCGGCCAACUAAGUCAGACGUGAAAUCCCUCGGCUUAACCGGGGAACUGCGUCUGAUACUGGAUGGCUUGAGGUUGGGAGAGGGAUGCGGAAUUCCAGGUGUAGCGGUGAAAUGCGUAGAUAUCUGGAGGAACACCGGUGGCGAAGGCGGCAUCCUGGACCGGUAUUGACGCUGAGGCGCGAAAGCCAGGGGAGCAAACGGG
rnacentral:rRNA from 1 species